ensembl:rRNA 5S_rRNA 5S ribosomal RNA
GUCUAUGGCAAUGUCACCCUGAACACGACCGAUCUUGUCUGAUCUUGGAAGCUAAGCAGGGUUGGGCCUGGUUAGUACUUGGAUGGGAGACUGCCUAGGAAGACCGGGUGCUGUAGGCU